GACGAACGCUGGCGGCGUGCUUAACACAUGCAAGUCGAACGCUGAAGCUCAGCUUUUGUUGGGUGGAUGAGUGGCGAACGGGUGAGUAACACGUGAGUAACCUGCCCCCUUCUUUGGGAUAACGCCCGGAAACGGGUGCUAAUACUGGAUAUUCACUGGUCUUCGCAUGGGGGUUGGUGGAAAGGGUUUUUCUGGUGGGGGAUGGGCUCGCGGCCUAUCAGCUUGUUGGUGGGGUGAUGGCCUACCAAGGCUUUGACGGGUAGCCGGCCUGAGAGGGUGACCGGUCACAUUGGGACUGAGAUACGGCCCAGACUCCUACGGGAGGCAGCAGUGGGGAAUAUUGCACAAUGGGCGCAAGCCUGAUGCAGCAACGCCGCGUGAGGGAUGGAGGCCUUCGGGUUGUGAACCUCUUUCGCUCAUGGUCAAGCCGCAACAAUGGUUGUGGUGAGGGUAGUGGGUAAAGAAGCGCCGGCUAACUACGUG
rnacentral:rRNA from 1 species